UACGGAGGGUGCGAGCGUUAUUCGGAAUUACUGGGCGUAAAGCGCGUGUAGGCGGGAGUGCAAGUCUGAUGUGAAAGCCCCGGGCUUAACCUGGGAAGUGCAUUGGAAACUGCAUUUCUUGAGUGCUGGAGAGGAAGGGGGAAUUCCCGGAGUAGAGGUGAAAUUCGUAGAGAUCGGGAGGAAUACCAGUGGCGAAGGCGCCCUUCUGGACGGCAACUGACGCUGAGACGCGAAAGCGUGGGGAGCAAACAGG
rnacentral:rRNA from 1 species